UUGCAGGCCCUGAUUGUCCAAACGCAAUUCUUGUACAAAUAUAAUAUCAAGAAAUGUGUAGGGGCAUCGUUGCUUGCAC
ncrna:Daphnia pulex (common water flea) microRNA dpu-mir-219 precursor